rnacentral:rRNA from 4 species
AGACCCGAAACCCGGUGAUCUAGCCAUGGGCAGGUUGAAGGUUGGGUAACACUAACUGGAGGACCGAACCGACUAAUGUUGAAAAAUUAGCGGAUGACCUGUGGCUGGGGGUGAAAGGCCAAUCAAACCGGGAGAUAGCUGGUUCUCCCCGAAAGCUAUUUAGGUAGCGCCUCGUGAAUUCAUCUCCGGGGGUAGAGCACUGUUUCGGCUAGGGGGCCAUCCCGGCUUACCAACCCGAUGCAAACUGCGAAUACCGGAGAAUGUUAUCACGGGAGACACACGGCGGGUGCUAACGU